UAUAAUAACUGGCGGCAGCUUACCAUGCNAGUCGAACGGUAAGAGGAGGAAGCUUGCUUUCUUGCUGACGAGUGGCGGACGGGUGAGUAAUGCUUGGGAAUCUGGCUUAUGGAGGGGGAUAACUACUGGAAACGGUAGCUAAUACCGCGUAAUAUCGAGAGAUUAAAGGGUGGGAUCGCAAGACCACCUGCCAUAAGAUGAGCCCAAGUGGGAUUAGGUAGUUGGUGGGGUAAAGGCCUACCAAGCUUGCGAUCUCUAGCUGGUCUGAGAGGAUGGCCAGCCACACUGGAACUGAGACACGGUCCAGACUCCUACGGGAGGCAGCAGUGGGGAAUAUUGCACAAUGGGGGAAACCCUGAUGCAGCCAUGCCGCGUGUCUGAAGAAGGCCUUCGGGUUGUAAAGUUCUUUCGGUGAUGAGGAAGGUGUUUUGUUUAAUAGACAAGGCAAUUGACGUUAGUCACAGAAGAAGCACCGGCUAACUCCGUGCCAGCAGCCGCGGUAAU
rnacentral:rRNA from 1 species